rnacentral:misc_RNA from 1 species
GUUACAGCGGACAUUCCUUUCUCCUCCCUCUUGUUCAUUUGUAAGUGUUCACUCAGCCAGGGCGGAAGUUCUCGCCAUUUUGACUAGACGACCUUUACGCUCCCGGAUAUUCCCAGCCUAGUCAAGAUCCGUUAUCCCUGGUGCACACCUGCAGAUUUCAGUUGUAUUAGCCUGCAAAUUGGAGGGGUGGAGUCGUCGUAAUGCAUGUGAAGUGACUUUAAUGCCUACUCAUUAACAAGAGCACAAACUACAUUUGGAUAAGUGCUAACAAGCCUUUAGUAACUUGGUGGAGAUGGCAUUGCAAAUGAAUGUAUCGGGCAUUCGUCGCAAUUUGAAAAAUAUUGCCCACAAUUACACAGAUGCACAGAUUAAAGUGCGUGAAGCAACCAGCAAUGAUCCAUGGGGACCCUCUUCUACCCUUAUGUCAGAAGUUGCUGACCUGACUUACAAUGUGGUGGCCUUUACAGAAAUAAUGCAAAUGAUCUGGAAAAGAUUGAAUGACCAUGGACGGAACUGGAGACACGUUUAUAAAGCACUUGUUUUGUUAGAAUACCUCAUUAAGACUGGUAGUGAGAAGGUUGCAGAUCAGUGUAAAGAAAAUAUUUUUGCUAUCCAAACAUUGAAGGAUUUUCAGUAUUUAGAAGAAAAUAAAGAUCAAGGAAUGAAUGUUCGAGAAAAAGCCAAAGCUCUUGUGACGCUUCUGAAAGAUGAUGAGCGACUUCGGAAUGAAAGAGUACGAGCCCUUAAAGCCAAAGAGAGAUUUGCACAGAGCGUUUCGGGUAUUGGCAGUGAUAGUGACAUAAGCUCUCCCACUAGUCCCUCUUAUGCUGAUACUUAUGUUACGAGUUCUUCACGGCCUGCUGAACGAAAUGCUUAUGGUAUUAAAGAUGGUCCUUCUGGAUUAGAACCUCAGCUUGAGGCUGCACGUCCUCAGACAGUUGGUGAAGAAGAAUUGCAGCUACAACUGGCGCUAGCCAUGAGCAAAGAGGAAGCGGAACAGGAGGAACAAAAACAGCGUUCUGAUGACGUGAGGCUGCAGAUGGCCAUCACCCAGAGUGAGGAAGAUUUUAAGAAAGAUUGGUCGCCAUCGGAGUUCAAACGUCACCAGAAAGAGGACAUGUCGGCAAUGAAUGAUCUUCUAGAUAUCAAUUUUAAUCCUCAUGGUGGGGUAAAUGGGGCUCGUGCACGUUCAUCAUCUACUCCGCCUAUGUCCACCACCCUUGAUCCCUGGGGCAUGCCGACUCCUGCCACUACUGCUUCUCCACAGCACACCUCUCUACCCAAGAGUUUUCCUGCUGCAGGCUUCACUCCAACGCCACCCCCUGUCCCCCCUCUCCCAACCACCAGUACCUCAUUCCCAUCCUCUUUCCCAACUUCUAAGAUAACUUUCAGACACUCAAAUCCUCCUCUGUUAAGUUCAUCAGCUGCUCUCCUAUUUGAGCAGUGGCAUCGUUCAACUAGCCCUCCAAACCCUUUUCUGGAAGAGCCAAAUAUUGUGCCACUUGUUUCACAGGGUCAUCAAGGAAGCACUUUGCCUUCAGUUACAAAUGUGUCACGUUCAGCUUCCCUCUUUCUCUCUCCUCCACAAUCACAAAAUGUUUCUUCUUCUCUACCAUCCAAUUAUUCACUAUUUCCUCAGAUGUCCACCCCAUUUCUCAGUCCUCCUCUCCAUCGCUCCUCUGUCUCUGCUCCUCGGCCAGCUUCAUCUCUUUCUUACAUUACUCCUUCUGAAGCACCUGUAGGCUUAUCCUCACCUUCCCCUUCCUCGUACAACCCUUGGGGUGCUGUUCAGGUCAACAUAGCAACUGUUGAAAUGCCUCCUUCAGUUAAGACAGACCCCUGGGGAAUGGCUCUCCCAAAUGGUGGCUCAGAAACUCCUAAACAGCCUGAUCCAUGGGGUUCUCCAGCAUCAGGCCCUCCUUCACGUGUCACAUCUCCACCAACUACAAGUGAUCCUUGGGGUCCUCCACCUGCCAGAUCACCCGAACCACCAAUGGGAGGAAUAUGUGGAAAUGAUCCUUGGGCAGUGCUAGGCAUCAUACCACCUGCUAAAAGCUCCACGCCUCCAGUUGUUGGCACCAACGACCCCUGGGAUCCAGUACCCGCAAAGCCACAAACUAAAGAUCCCUUUGCACCAAUUUCACCUACAAACAACGGAGAUGUGGAUGAGUUCUCAGCUUUGUCAAUAAGGGAUAAACCAGCUAAUAACGGUGUCUCAGAUGCUUUUGAUUUAAGUGGGCUGGGUUCGGCUAUUCCUGACAAUAACAGAGUUCCUCCACCAAAAUCAAAGUCUCCAGCAGCCUUCUUGGGAGAGAACUCCAACCUUGUUAAUUUGGACAACCUUGUCUCUGCCAAGCAAUUGCCUGCUAGCUUAGGGCCAAUGAGCUACACUGAGAUGCAACCCAGUAGCCAGAUUUCAAGGGCGAGUAAUGUCCAAAUAUGGGCACCACUUCACCUAAAUGAUGAAUAAUUCUCGACUCAAUGUCACAGUAUAUUCUCCUAUCCAAGCAUAUUCAAACAUUACCAAAUGGCUGGAACACACCUUUAAUUGGAAUAUAAGGAAGGAGCCUCCCCAUUGAACUCCACGAAUAACUCCAACUCUUCCUUCAUCAACAACAACCUCAACACCACCACCACCACUACCACCACCAAUCCUUUCGCUACACCUGGCCUCGCGCCCUCAUCUUUUGCAGGUGUGAAUC